rnacentral:lncRNA from 1 species
CAAUUUUUUUUUUUAAUCCAACUCUCACUUUCCAAAAACUUAGGAGUGUAUGAAUUAAUCAAUUUAAGGUCACACGUACCUUAUCAACCGUCAAGGGCAGUUUUGUCAUUUCAUAUCAACGAAUAUGAAAUUCUGGAAUGGGCUAUGACAAUAUUCCUUCCUUAUAGAAUUUCGUCCUUGAAAUUCAUACAACCAAUCAAUCCACUUAAUACUCAUAAAACAACUUUGGAUACAUCUCUCUCAUUCGAUCUUCCGUCUCCCAAGUAGCUUCUUCCACUGAGUGGUUCCUCCACAGUACUUUUACCAAGCUCAUUGUCUUAUUCCUUAGAACCUUGUCUUUCCAAUCCAAGAUAGUCACUGGUUCCUCAUCAUACGUCAAAUUCGGAUUAAUCUCCAA